AUUGAACGCUGGCGGCAGGCCUAACACAUGCAAGUCGAGCGAGCGGCGGACGGGUGAGUAACGCAUGGGGACCGCCCGCAAGAGGGGGAUAACCACUGGAAACGGUAGCCAAUACCCCAUACUACCUGAUAAGCCAUAUGGGUUUAGCUAGUGGGUGAGGUAAUGGCGCACCUAGGCGACGUUCCCUAGCUGGUCUGAGAGGAUGAUCAGCCACACUGGGACUGAACCACGGCCCAGACUCCAACGGAGGCACAAGAGGGGAACAUUGCACAAUGGGCGCAAGCCUGAUGCAGCCAUGCCGCGUGUAUGAAGAAGGCCCUAGGUUUGUAAAGUACGUUCAGUCGGGAGGCGUUACCGACAGAAGAAGCACCGGCUAACUCCGUGCCAGCAGCCGCGGUAAUUC
rnacentral:rRNA from 1 species